rnacentral:rRNA from 1 species
UCGAGGAUCUUCGUCAAUGGGCGCAAGCCUGAACGAGCGACGCCGCGUGGGCGAUGAAGGCCUUCGGGUUGUAAAGCCCUGUCGAGGGGGAGAAAAGCGCAAGCUUGAUCGAUCCCUGGAGGAAGCACGGGCUAAGUUCGUGCCAGCAGCCGCGGUAAGACGAACCGUGCGAACGUUGUUCGGAAUCACUGGGCUUAAAGGGCGCGUAGGCGGCUCGCGAGGUCGGGGGUGAAAGCCCGCAGCUCAACUGCGGAAGGGCCUUCGAUACCGGCGAGCUCGAGGAGGGUAGGGGUGCGCGGAACUUCUGGUGGAGCGGUGAAAUGCGUUGAUAUCAGAAGGAACGCCGGCGGCGAAAGCGGCGCACUGGACCCUUUCUGACGCUGAGGCGCGAAAGCCAGGGGAGCAAACGGGAUUAGAUACCCCCGUAGUCC